AUUGAACGCUGGCGGCAGGCCUAACACAUGCAAGUCGAGCGGAUGAGAGAAGCUUGCUUCUCGAUUCAGCGGCGGACGGGUGAGUAAUGCCUAGGAAUCUGCCUGGUAGUGGGGGACAACGUUUCGAAAGGAACGCUAAUACCGCAUACGUCCUACAGGAGAAAGCAGGGGACCUUCGGGCCUUGCGCUAUCAGAUGAGCCUAGGUCGGAUUAGCUAGUUGGCGAGGUAAUGGCUCACCAAGGCGACGAUCCGUAACUGGUCUGAGAGGAUGAUCAGUCACACUGGAACUGAGACACGGUCCAGACUCCUACGGGAGGCAGCAGUGGGGAAUAUUGGACAAUGGGCGAAAGCCUGAUCCAGCCAUGCCGCGUGUGUGAAGAAGGUCUUCGGAUUGUAAAGCACUUUAAGUUGGGAGGAAGGGUUGUAGAUUAAUACUCUGCAAUUUUGACGUUACCGACAGAAUAAGCACCGGCUAACUCUGUGCCAGCCGCCGCGGUAACAC
rnacentral:rRNA from 1 species